GCAGAUCCAGCCCCAGGAGCCAUAGAGAGGAGGUUUCGUGGGUGCAAGAAGAAAAGAGGUACAGAACACCCAGAGGUGCCCUCGAUUCCGUCUUGCACUUGCCCUUCUCCCACCGUCCAGCAAUAAAGCGAGAGAAACAAGUGCAGGAAACUGGCCGGCAGUCAUGGGAGAAGCCAAAAAGACAGGAGUUCAGUGGCAUGACCAGGGCUCACUGCAACCUUGAUCUGGGCUCAAGUGAUCCUCCUACCUCAGCUUCCUGAGUAGCUAGGACCACAGGUGUGCACCAACCACACCCGACUAAUUUUUGUAGAGAUGAGAUCCCACUAUGUUACCCAGGCUGGUCUUGAACUCCUGGGCUCAGGUGAUCAUCCUGCCUUGGCUUCCCAAAGUACUGGGAUUAUAGGCUUGAGCCACCGUGCCUGGCCUGUGAUCAGAAUUCUCAUUUUUUUAGUCACUAAAAAUGCUGGGGGGCACUCCAUUCUCCAUUAUGUGAUUAGUUCACAUUGCAUGCUUGUAUCAAAACAUCAUAUAUACCCCACAAAUAUAUACAAAAAACUUUAAAAUUUUAAGUAUUAAUUGCUCAGGAAAAAAUUAAAAUGCUGGGGUGCUGAAAUCUCAAGGGCCCCAUUACAAAACUCCUUAGGAACCUCGCCCUCUCUCUGCUGUAAGGACUGGUUCCAGAAUGAGAGAAUUUAAAAGACAUUCCCCCCCCAAAAUGUUCAUAAUGUCACCCCGGAAACCUGCGAAUAUGUUAUAUUACAUGACCAGGGAGAAGUAAGGUUGCAGAUGGCAGUAAGGUUGCUAAUGGGCUGACCUUAAGAUAAGGAGAUGAUCCUGGAUUAUCUGGGUGGACCCAAUGUAAUCACAAGGGUCCUUAACUGUGGAAUAGUGAGGUGGCUGAGUCAGAGGCAGAGUGAUGCAAUGACUGAAAGACUUAACCAGCCAUCACCGGCUUUGAAUACGGAAGACGGUCAUGAGCCAGGGAAUGCAGGCAGGCUCUGGGAGCUGAAAAAAGCAAGAAAAUGGAUUCUCCCCUGGAGCCUCCAGAAGGGAUGCGGUCCUGCCAACCCCUUGUCAGUGAGCCAUUUCAGAUUUCUGACUUCCAGGACUGUAAGAAAAUAAACUUGUCUUGUUUUCAGC
rnacentral:lncRNA from 1 species